rnacentral:rRNA from 1 species
UCUUCGAACGGACCCUUCGGGGUUAGUGGCGGACGGGUGAGUAACACGUGGGAACGUGCCUUUAGGUUCGGAAUAGCUCCUGGAAACGGGUGGUAAUGCCGAAUGUGCCCUUCGGGGGAAAGAUUUAUCGCCUUUAGAGCGGCCCGCGUCUGAUUAGCUAGUUGGUGAGGUAACGGCUCACCAAGGCGACGACCAGUAGCUGGUCUGAGAGGAUGACCAGCCACACUGGGACUGAGACACGGCCCAGACUCCUACGGGAGGCAGCAGUGGGGAAUCUUGCGCAAUGGGCGAAAGCCUGACGCAGCCAUGCCGCGUGAAUGAUGAAGGUCUUAGGAUUGUAAAAUUCUUUCACCGGGGACGAUAAUGACGGUACCCGGAGAAGAAGCCCCGGCUAACUUCGUGCCAGCAGCCGCGGUAAUACGAAGGGGGCUAGCGUUGCUCGGAAUUACUGGGCGUAAAGGGCGCGUAGGCGGAUCGUUAAGUCAGAGGUGAAAUCCCAGGGCUCAACCCUGGAACUGCCUUUGAUACUGGCGAUCUUGAGUAUGAGAGAGGUAUGUGGAACUCCGAGUGUAGAGGUGAAAUUCGUAGAUAUUCGGAAGAACACCAGUGGCGAAGGCGACACACUGGCUCAUUACUGACGCUGAGGCGCGAAAGCGUGGGGAGCAAACAGGAUAGAUACCCUGGUAGUCCCGCC